CAGAAUAUAGUUUAUUAAAAUAAUAAUUUUGGAGAUUAUAGAUAAAAAUUUUUUUUAUUCUGA
rnacentral:tRNA from 1 species